rnacentral:rRNA from 1 species
GGCUCUUUGGUUAUUAUAUAUAAAGAGUCGAGCCUGCCCAGUGAUGUAUUUAACGGCCGCGGUACUCUGACCGUGCAAAGGUAGCAUAAUCAUUUGCCUUAUAAUUGAAGGCUAGUAUGAAUGGUUUGACGAAAACAAAGCUGUCUCUUUUUAAUUUUUUAGAACUUGAUUUUUAGGUGAAGAAGCCUAAAUAUAAUUGAAAGACAAGAAGACCCUAUCGAGCUUUAAAAAAUUUUAUUAAAAUAAAAUAACUAAAAAAAUUGAUCAUAAUAAAAAAUUUUAGUUGGGGCGACUAAGGAACAAAAAAGCUUCCAAUUUUAUAUUUGACAAAUAAGUUCUGAUCCAAAACCUUUGAUUAAAAAAAUUAGUUACCGUAGGGAUAACAGCAUAAUCUUUUUUGAGAGCUCUUAUCGAAAAAAAGGUUUGUGACCUCGAUGUUGGACUAGAAUAUCCUAAUGGCGCAGAAGUUUUUAAGGGUUGGUCUGUUCGACCACUAAUAUUCUACGUGAUCUGAGUUCAGACCGG